rnacentral:rRNA from 1 species
GAUGAACGCUGGCGGCGUGCCUAAUACAUGCAAGUCGAGCGAACAGACGAGGAGCUUGCUCCUCUGACGUUAGCGGCGGACGGGUGAGUAACACGUGGAUAACCUACCUAUAAGACUGGGAUAACUUCGGGGAACCGGAGCUAAUACCGGAUAAUAUAUUGAACCGCAUGGUUCAAUAGUGAAAGACGGUUUUGCUGUCACUUAUAGAUGGAUCCGCGCCGCAUUAGCUAGUUGGUAAGGUAACGGCUUACCAAGGCAACGAUGCGUAGCCGACCUGAGAGGGUGAUCGGCCACACUGGAACUGAGACACGGUCCAGACUCCUACGGGAGGCAGCAGUAGGGAAUCUUCCGCAAUGGGCGAAAGCUUGACGGAGCAACGCCGCGUGAGUGAUGAAGGUCUUCGGAUCGUAAAACUCUGUUAUUAGGGAAGAACAAAUGUGUAAGUAACUAUGCACGUCUUGACGGUACCUAAUCAGAAAGCCACGGCUAACUACGUG